AAAAAGGCAAACCCUGGGUUUCCGUGUCCAACUUUGACUGUUCGUCUUAUAUGAAAUUUUUUUAUAAUUCGUAUUUCCAUUGUUGUUAGAUGAUAAAACAUGAUUAAUAUUUUAUGCGUGACUUGUCUUUUAAUUUUUUUUAUAAUUUUUUUAAAUAAGGCGGACGGUCGAACGUUGGACACGGAAACCAGGGUU
rnacentral:pre_miRNA from 1 species